AGUUUACAUAGUGUUACUGUCGCAAUGCUUUGGUUAAAUGUUGAUAUAAAGCAAGUUUUAGGAAUUCUUUUAAAUGAUGAAGUAAUGGUGGUGGAAAGAAAUUAGUAACAGAAAGAGUGAAAAUCUUUUCAUUAGCUGUAGGUGGUGCUACUGGCUUUUAUUUGCUGGCUUGAUUAUUCUGUUUCCCACAAAAACCAUGGCAUUAGUAAAACAGUAAGUAUGUGUUAGGUGGUAGAGGCUUUGGAGGUCAGUUUACCUUAAAUUGAAAGAUUUUAGAUAGCUGUUUCUUCCUACCUUUGCUUGUUAUUUGUAAAUGCUAAAUGGUCAGCAUAAAACUAGAUGGGAGAAGAAAUGUUUAGAGUAUAAUAAAUAUGUCUCAGACUGAGUUACUGCCUGGCUUAUCAGGAAAGAAAGCACUACAAUCUCUUCAGGAAUUACAGAUAAUGCGCAUAUUUAUAUUUUACAUGUAAUCACCAUACUCCAUUUUAUGUAUAGUAUUUUCCUUGCUUAGGGGAAAAGAGCACAGUAACAGAUUUCUUUUAUACCUUUGUCUUCACCCUCUCUGAGAGAGGUUUUGAUAACCACUGAAAUAGUAAGAUAUGGGAGAUAUAAUUGUUAGUCUG
rnacentral:lncRNA from 1 species